GGCAUCGUGGUCUAGUGGUAUGAUUCGCGCUUCGGAUGCGCGAGGUCCUGGGUUCAAUUCCCAGCGAUGCCC
rfam:Edhazardia aedis TSNM 41457 supercont1.28, whole genome shotgun sequence.